CGCAUCGUGCUCGGCGUCAUUCUGUUUGCCGCGAUGAUAGGAAGUUUCGUCUUCGCAUGCGGCGCGGGCGCGCAGGAAAAGAUCGUCGAACGCACCCGGCCGCCGAUGAUCGAGGAUGAAGAGGAUUUCGAGGAGGACGAUCGCCGGUCGGUCUCGCUCGGCUGGAUCGUUCAUACCGCCAUGAGCGCAAAAACACGCGUGGUUCGGGCGCUUUCUGCUUUCUUCGCGAUGCUGGUCGGACGCACGGAAUCGCGCCGCUCA
rnacentral:misc_RNA from 1 species